UUGAAAGUGACUACAUCGGGG
rnacentral:ncRNA from 3 species